AAUGGAUACAGGUGGUGCAUGGUUGUCGUCAGCUCGUGCCGUGAGGUGUUCGGGUUAAGUCCCGCAACGAGCGCAACCCUUAUCAUUAGUUGCUACGCAAGGGCACUCUAAUGAGACUGCCGGUGACAAACCGGAGGAAAGGUGGGGAUGACGUCAAGUCCUCAUGGCCCUUAUGGGUAGGGCUUCACACGUCAUACAAUGGUCGGUACAGAGGGUUGCCAAGCCGCGAGGUGGAGCCAAAUCCCAGAAAGCCGAUCGUAGUCCGGAUUGUUCUCUGCAACUCGAGAGCAUGAAGUCGGAAUCGCUAGUAAUCGCGGAUCAGCAUGUCGCGGUGAAUACGUUCCCGGGUCUU
rnacentral:rRNA from 1 species